UUAUAAACACAGAUUCAAAAAUGGCUGCUUAUAUUGAAGCUUGCAGAAGAAAAGCCCCAACAAUCUCUCCAUAUCGUAUAAGAAAGAAAAAUCUCAAUUGCAGGCAAUCUGCGAUGAAAAUAUGAUCUUCACAGACAUUGUGGUCAAAUGGCCUGGCUCGAGUCAUGAUUCGUUCAUUUUACAACAAUCCAACAUAUAUGACAAAUUCGAAAGUGGCCAAUUUGGUAACAGCUUGCUGCUUGGGGACAGUGGAUACCCAUUAAAAAAAUGGUUGAUGACACCAAUAUCAAAUCCCAAUGGGACAGCCGCUGAAAGAUAUAAUAUUGCACACAAAAAGACAAGAGUGAUUAUCGAAAAAGCAUUUGGAGUGUUGAAGCAAAGGUGGCGUAUUCUUGAUCAUACCGGGGGCAAAUUGUGCUAUACACCAUUGAAAGUUGCGAAAAUUAUAGUAUGCUGUGUUAUUCUACACAAUAUGUGCAGGAGAAAUAAUGUUCCUCUGCCUUCCAAUGGGAGAAUUUACCCUGUACCAGACACAGAUGACACUGCAGCACAAGAUGAUUUCGAACCCACUGCAGAGUCCGUGCGUUCGGCCAUAGUUUCAAGUUUUAGUUAGUGUAUCGUCAAAAUUUUUGUGUGCUUGCAGUAAGGGUGUUGUCAAAAACUUAAUACACAUGAAAUUGGUGACAAGCGUGACGUCACCACAGAUUACCUCAUACCCUUGCGACAUGUGUCAUGUACAUUUCAGAUCGAGUCGAUUUGAAUAUGGCCACUCUCAGCUUGGUUGGGGCUGUUUGUGUCACAAUAUCAAAUUUGAAUAUUCGGAACACUUCGUCAUUCAAUGAUUGUGACAUAAGCAGCCCCAACCAAGCCCUUAACUGAGCUGGGAGUGACCAUAUUAAUAUUGACACAUCUUUCUGAAAUGUUUGAUAGACUUGUCGCAAGGGGAUGGCGGAAUCAGUGAUGACGUCACGCUAUUCGCCAAUUUCCAGGUUGUAUCAAGUUUUUGACAACUCCCUGGCAGCGAGUCAUAAUCCCCCUAUACAUGUUGAAAAAGUAACAUGAAAUUAAGUCUUCAAAUUUCUUUAAGAAAAUAAAUGAGUCUCAAUUUUGCGUUCCUUUUUCAAUUUUUAAGUACCGGUAUAAAAUUUUGCGUUGGAGAGUAUACAAAAUAUGAAAACUCAAAAUCGUUUACUUAUAAAUAACACACUUUAAUUUUAAAAGCUGCUGAACAUAAAUUUUUUAAAAAGUAACACUUGGGCUUGACCAUGUCAUUCAUCAUCUUCCGGAAUUUCUUGCAAGUCACUAGAUUCAGAUAUUUCAAUGGAGUUUUUUAUUCAACUUAAUUUUUACACCCACAGUUUGAUGUUGAGAAAUAAAGAUCUUUGGCCUGUCCUGUUUCAUGGGAAGGGCUCAUUUUAAAAUUCCGGCUAGGUCUUAUUUUUGGAAAAACACAUAAAUAAGAAACCCAAAAAUAAGACCUAGCCGGAAUUUUAAAAUAAGCCCUUCCCAUGAAACAGGACAGGCCAAAGAUCUUUAUUUCUCAACAUCAAACUGUGGGUGUAAAAAUUAAGUUGAAUAAAAAACUCCAUUGAAAUAUCUGAAUCUAGUGACUUGCAAGAAGCAAGAAAUUCCGGAAGAUGAUGACAUGGUCAAGCCCUAGUGUUACUUUUUGAAAAAUUUAUGUUCAGCAGCUUUCAAAAUUAAUUAUGUCAACAUCUACGCCAGAGCUGUAUUUUAUCAUUUUGUUGCUAUGUUUUUUUGCAAUAAAGAAACCACUUUGAAUAAUA